UUUAUUUUUCUAAGGAUUAUAGUAAAAAUUAAAAUAUUUGGCGGCUGUUUAAAUUAAAGGGAUUUGCUUUUUAUCGAUUUGCCUCGUUUAUUAUUAUUUAGUUUAUUUUUGUAUACCGUCAUUUAGAUAAUUUUUAUAUAAUUAAUUAUGAAAACAAUAUUUUUUAUAUUAGAUCAAGGUGCAGAUAUAAUUAAUCUUAAGUUAAUGACAAUAAUUUAUUAUUGACCGUUAUAUGUGUAAUUAGUUAGAAUAGUAGGAUUUAAUUGUAAUGAAAAAUUAUUGAAA
rnacentral:rRNA from 1 species